ACUUAAAUUGAAGAGUUUGAUCAUGGCUCAGAUUGAACGCUGGCGGCAGGCCUAACACAUGCAAGUCGAGCGGUAGCACAGAGAGCUUGCUCUCGGGUGACGAGCGGCGGACGGGUGAGUAAUGUCUGGGAAACUGCCUGACUGAGGGUCAUAACUACUGGAAACGGUAGCUAAUACCGCAUAA
rnacentral:rRNA from 1 species